UUUUUAAACCUCGGCAUUUAGAGGAAGGUGAAGUCGUAACAAGGUUUCCGUAGGUGAACCUGCGGAAGGAUCAUUA
rnacentral:rRNA from 3 species